rnacentral:rRNA from 1 species
UACGAAGGGGGCGAGCGUUGUUCGGAUUUACUGGGCGUAAAGGGCGCGCAGGCGGCUAUUUUUGUCAGGCGUGAAAGCCCCGGGCUUAACCUGGGAACAGCGCUUGAGACGGGAUGGCUAGAGAUCGGGAGAGGAGAGUGGAAUUCCCAGUGUAGAGGUGAAAUUCGUAGAUAUUGGGAAGAACACCGGUGGCGAAGGCGGCGCUCUGGACCGAGACUGACGCUGAGGCGCGAAAGCGUGGGGAGCGAACAGG